CUCGUACACUUCCCUUUGCUCUCUAACCCUCACGGAGAAGACAAAGCAGACAGUUCCAGGAAAUAACCAGGCUCAACUCAUCUUGUGAAGACUCAGGAAAUGGCAGAAAUGCAGUUUGGGAAGCAAUAGGAGCUGUGUACACAGAGAUCAGGAAUGGCGUAAAAGGAAGGGGAAGGCAUGGUGGACUGAGACAGUACCAAGUAGAUGUCCACAGCCAACAGGGAAGAGCGAGGACCACACAACUGGACAACAAGAGCUGCAAUUAUGGGCACUGGACAACAAUUGUUGCUGUCUAUUUGCCAGUUCAAAUGCAUAUUCCAGGCAUGGCUGUACCUCUUCCUUGGUGCCAACCACUAC
rnacentral:lncRNA from 1 species